rnacentral:rRNA from 1 species
GGAUCAGUACGCUGGUCGUGCCUUGUGUAUGUACUGGUGUCACUGGUUCCUACCUUCUGACGAACCGUCAUGUCAUUAAUUUGGUGUGGCGGGGAAUCAGGACUGUUACUUUGAAAAAAUUAGAGUGUUUAAAGCAGGCGUUUGCCUUGAAUACGUUAGCAUGGAAUAACAAAAUGGGCU